GCAGCGUGGAGUGAGAAGGCCUUCGGCCUUGUAAAGCUCUUUUAGCGGGGAGGAAGGGGGGAGUGUUGAUACCUUUGCUCCUUGACGUUUCCCUGACAAGAAGCACCGGCUAACUCCGUGCCAGCAGCCGCGGUAAUACUGACGGUGCAAGCGUUAAUCGGAAUUACUGGGCGUAAAGCGCACUCAGGCGGUUUGUUAAGUCCCAUGUGAAAUCCCCGGGCUCAACCUGGGAACUGCAUCUGAUACUGGCUAGCUUGAGUCUCGUAGAGGGGGGUAGAAUUCCAUGUGUUGCGAGUGAAAUGCGUAAAGAUCUGGAGGAAUACCGGUGGCGAAGGCGGCCCCCUGGACCAAGACUGACGCUCAGGUGCUGAAAGCCUGGGGAGCAAACAGGAUUAAAUACCCUGGUAAUCCACGCCGUAAACAAUGUCUACUUGG
rnacentral:rRNA from 1 species